ensembl:lincRNA
CAACAAUUACCAGAGCAAAUUAAGUAAUGUCCCAAAUAAGGGGAAACUUAGAAGGAUAUUCAGAGAGCAUUGAAUGUAUCUAUCAGGAUUGCCUAUGCAUGUUAUCAAUGCAUAUUUUCCUUCACAGUGUUCACAGUGGGGUAAUCAUAACUAUAUGGUUUAUGAGGAAGACCAGUGAUUGCUGCUUCCCAUCCCUUCACUAAGGAUUAGUUGCACAGAGGGAGAGAGGAAGCAGAAUCUGGAGGACGCACCCUGGAGACAGAAACAAAUGUUGAAAAAUGAUGCCUGGAAUCAGCUGCCUGAGGAACAUGGGAAUGACCUAUUGGACAGUGACAGUGGCCCUGAGCUAACCUUACCCCAAUUCUACGGUUCACCAUUUCUACUUCCUCUUCCCUCUCCUCCCCUCUAUGAGUGUUGAGCCAUUCUGAGCAUAGGAAGAGGUUUGGGCUGCACUUCCCCACAGGUUUAAAUCCCUGUGCAAGUGUAAAUGCUCGUACACAGACCACGGUGAUACUCAGCUUCAUCCAUCAACUGAGAGCCCAUGAUGAUAAGUGUGGCUUUGUUCCCAGAGAUGAAGCCUCAGAAGUGAUCAGAGACCCCAGAGGUUGGCCACUCAUGCUGUAGAUCGUCAUGUGUGGAGCCCAGUCUGAAGUCUACUGGUAACGGCUGGGGUAGUAACUGGUAGAGACUGAACCAGAGCUGUGGCUGCAGGUGAGCAUGACCAUCCUUCCUAGAGACCCUGAUAGUGAAGGCUCCUGGAUCACCACAGUUUGAGAACCCACCCUGAGACCAGCAGGACAGACAGUAUUGUAGACAAGGCAUCACACCGAGAUCUCUGCUCUCACAUGAGCAACCCAAGAAGGCAGAAACAUUCCAUUAAACUGAACCAUAAGCAAGGAGCCUGAGUAGAAGAGCCUUUCAAGCUAUGAUGGGGACACUCAUAAGGACUCGCUCCUCAUUCUCCUCAGCUAGAGUUGGUGUCCUUGGGGCCUUUUCAUGGCUUCCCACAAAAGGUUCUUCAUGCAAAUCUGCUUCCUCCAUCUUCCUGCCCCAGCAUUGACCUUUUUGUGCCCCUGGGUGGGAUCUUCAAAGAGGCAAGUGCUGGGACCUCAGGUAGACCAGUGCCCACAUUGAGACUUAGCGCCUGCAGGAUUAUAUUUGAUGCCUCUCGCGAAACACAAUACUCACUUGCCCGCUGUUGACCUCAGUACGAAAGAUCUUCUCUGGAAAAUCUAAGAACAGGAGGAUGAAAAGGGGGAGGUCCCAACCUGUCUCUUCUUUCCUAAAACCAACACCAUCACUGUGAAUGUUUUCUUCCAUCCUCUCUGAAAUCACUUCUUGCCUUUUAUGGGAUUCUUAGCACAUAGUCCCUCUCUCUAGCAAUGAUUCAAUGGGAAAACACCAAGUUCCUGUCUGGGUGUGAAGGGAUAUGUUUCUCUACUGAUGCAGUUCUGGAUCCUGUCUCUGUAGGAGGAGUGGCACUGAUCAUAUAUCAGACAAAAAGUUCAUGGUAAAUAAACACAGUGCUAAAGAAUCAAGCAUUCCUCAAUAAAGUAGAGAAAAGCACCUAGUUUUAUAGCAAUUGCAUUUUAAGAUAAAGGGCAUGUAAAACUUCAGAGAAAAAGGAGGAAGUAAAUUAAAAUAACAAAAUCCUAACAGUCCAUAAGUCCACGUGUCAUUAUAAAUCCACAAAAUCGGCAGAUAAAAUAAUACUAAGAAAUAAAAGCUAAAAUAUGACAGUUAAUGGUUUGGA